UACAUGGGGUGCAAACGUUGCUCGGAAUUAUUGGGCGUAAAGCGCGCGUAGGCGGUUACUCAAGUCGGAUGUGAAAGCCCUCGGCUUAACUGAGGAAGUGCACCCGAAACUGAGUAGCUAGAGUACUAAAGAGGGUCGCGGAAUUCCAGGUGUAGCGGUGAAGUGCGUAGAUAUCUGGAGGAACACCGGUGGCGAAGGCGGCAUCCUGGACCAACACUGACACUGAGGAGCGAAAGCCAGGGGAGCAAACGGG
rnacentral:rRNA from 1 species